AAAGACUGGGCACUUCCUUCUGGAGUCAGUAACGGCUUGUUCCCCCAUCUCUUCCUACCAUGGUGGGGGAAUGGUCCCUCCCCUCCCCAGCUCACUGAAGCUCCCUCCAAAAUCAAAUGCAGAGACUCCAGCAUCUCACAGAGGAAUCCUAGGUAUGAUGAGCAGGUUGUCAACGGACGAUAGGACAGAAGAAGAAAUGAAAGUAUUGAAACAGAUCCUAGGUUUGCUGAGCCUCCAGGUGCUAAGCGAAGAAACAAAUGAUUGCAAGGAAGCAGGGAAGAUUUCCCUAGCCACUGCCACCUCCACCAAGAAACCACCCACGAAACGGACCAGAUGGAACUUGUUGAAAUGCACUUAUAUGAUGGUCACCUUCCUGUUUGUGUCCUACAACAAAGGAGACUGGCAGGCCCCUUGCUGGAUGCCGGGACUACAAGACCCCACAAGGUCCCUGGACCCCACAAGCUCACAGGAUAGGGGCAGGACAGAAACAAAACAGACAGUGAGCUCCAGGAAAGGAAGCGAAUCAGGGGAUCUGUCAGAGCACGCAAAGCGGUGGGCUGCUUUACUGGAAAAGGCGAGCUGAGCUGGCGGAAGCAGCCUGCCUUGAGAGCUGCAGGGACAGCCGUCCUGAGCAAAGGGAACAUGCGAGGCAAAGACCCGAGGCUGAACUGCACUGUGUGCCUCUGAGGGACCAAAGGAAAGUCUGCAUGAGUUGGGAGAGCCAGAGGGCAUCCCAUAGGAAGGAAGGAAGGAAGGAAGGAAGGAAGGAAGGAAGGAAGGAAGGAAGGAAGGAAGGAAGGAAAGUUCUAUUCUAAGUUGGGUGGAGAGCCAUCCACAAGAUCUGACAUCAAGUAGGAAAGGGUCAGUCUGGGUGCUGAAUGAGGACCUGGGUGGCUCAGUCCUUUGAGCCUCAGUAUUCAGCUCAGGUCAUGACUUCUUGCCUCAUGGCUCUUGAGUUCGAGCCCCUGAGCCCCUCGUAGGGCUCUGUGCUGACAGCUCAGCUCAGAGCCUGGAGCCUGCUUUGGAUUCUGUGUCUCCCUCUCUCUCUCUGCCCCUCCCCUGCUCACACUCUGUCUCUCUCUGAAAAAUAAAAUAAAAAUGCUAACGGGUUGCAUGUGAGGGACGAGGAAAAUGGCACCAAGGAGAUGAGCCUCAGGCUUGGACUUGGGCCCUUGGUUAGACCGGUGGUUCUCCAGUGGGGUAACCUUGCCCCCCAGAGGGCACAGCAGCAUCUGGGGAUACUGUUGGCUGUCAUGACUGGGGACGGGGUGCUACUGGCCUUUAGUGGGAGGAGGCCAGGGAUCCUGCUCGACAUCCUGCAUUGCAUAGGCCAGCUACCCCCAAAUAAACAGUGAUCCAGCUCAAAAUGUCAGUAGCGAUCAAGCUGAGAAACCCCAGGGGAGAGGACGGUUACUGAUGAGGAUGGGAAGAGCUGGCUGGAAGAUGGGACAGAAGGUGGGAGGUGAGGGCGACAGACCAGCAGGCCCUCAGGGUGUCACAACAACAGGGAAGGGGAGAAAGCCAGGGGAGGAACUCGACCUACCUCACCCCUCCUGUUUCUUUCUCUGUUUCCGGUUCACUUCCUCCUCAACCACCCAAGUGUUACUGUCACUCCUGCAGCACGGAAGUGGACAUCAGGAACGACCCCUGCUGCUCUUUCUAGCGACCCUGCUCCGUCCCCUCUGGGCGGUCGCCAGUCCUUCAUCUACCCGCUAGUCUCUCCCCAAGAACCCUGUCUUCCCGGGACCGCCAGUUUGGAGAGUGACGGACUGGGUCCUCUGAGGGGUGACACCUGUCUCUGCAGGAAGGUGACCCUGAGGGUCCUGAGGAGGUGGACCCAGGGCGAGCGAGGGCCCUUAGGGGGCUUUCCACACCGCUGUCCGUGGCCUCUUCCCACCCCCCCACCCCCACUGUUUCU